rnacentral:rRNA from 1 species
CAACGGUAGGUCAGCAUGCCCCGAAUUAUCCGGGCUACACGCGGGCUACAAUGGUCAGGGACAAUGGGUAUCGACACCGAGAGGUGGAGGCAAUCUCCUAAACCUGUCCUUAGUUCGGAUUGUGGGCUGCAACUCGCCCACAUGAAGCUGGAAUCCGUAGUAAUCGCGUUUCAAAAUAGCGCGGUGAAUAUGUCCCUGCUCCUU